rnacentral:rRNA from 1 species
UACAGAGGUCUCAAGCGUUGUUCGGAUUCAUUGGGCGUAAAGGGUGCGUAGGUGGCAUGGUAAGUCGGAUGUGAAAUCCCGGGGCUCAACCCCGGAACUGCAUUCGAUACUGCUGCGCUAGAGUACUGGAGAGGAGAUUGGAAUUUACGGUGUAGCAGUGAAAUGCGUAGAUAUCGUAAGGAAGACCAGUGGCGAAGGCGGAUCUCUGGACAGUUACUGACACUGAGGCACGAAGGCCAGGGAAGCAAACGGG